rnacentral:misc_RNA from 1 species
GAUGAAGAACGUAGCGAAAUGCGAUAAGUAGUGUGAAUUGCAGAAUUCCGUGAAUCAUCGAAUCUUUGAACGCACAUUGCGCCCCCUGGCAUUCCUAGGGGCAUGCCUGUUCGAGCGUCAUUAACAACCAUCAAGCCCCCGGGCUUGGUGUUGGGGAUCGGCGUGCCCUCGCGGCGCGCCGUCCCCUAAAUCUAGUGGCGGUCUCGCUGUAGCUUCCUCUGCGUAGUAGCAACACUCGCACUGGAUCGCAGCGCGGCCACGCCGUUAAACCCCCCACUUCUGAAAGUUUGACCUCGGAUCAGGUAGGAAUACCCGCUGAACUUAAGCAUAUCAAUAAGCGGAGGA